AAAAUCCGAGAAAACUGCCCACGUCACUCCGAGCGAGGUUUUCGUGGGCCGCUGGCAGGAGAUUUUCGUGGGGAUCUUCAAGGCGGCAGCCCACCCGUGCGUGAAUCCCCCUCCCGUCCACCGCGAAUCACUCAAUCAGCAAGCUGAGCGCGACGAGUUGGGUGAGGUUGGACAACGCGCCGGAGAGGCUCCCGUCGAAGCCGUUGAAGGAGAGGUCGAGCACCUGUAGGCUCCGCAGCCGCACGAGCCCCGGCGGCAGUGCGCCGGAGAAGGCAUUGCGCUGGAGGUGGAGCCCCGUGAGCGCGACGAGGUCAAAGAGAUCGUCGGGGAAGGGGCCCGAGAGGUUGUUGGUGCGGGGGAUGAGCACCUGCAGCGCGGCGAGUCGUCCGAGCGUGCGCGGCGGCACGGAGCCCGAGGCCCGGGAGGCGCAGCGCGACGACGCGGGAGCUGUCGGCGCUGCAGGUGACCUCCGUCCAGCUACCGCAGGAGCGCGGGGUGCCGCAGCGGCCCACCCCCGCCAGGAAGUCGAGCAGCGCGGCCUUGUCCACGUCCGGCUCGGAGGACGCGAGCGAGAGGAAUCAAAGCAGGAGGGCCGCCACGCAGAGUGGCAGCCGGGGCGGCGUGGCGGCGCUGGGGCUCACGUGAAACUCGGAGGGACGCAUCCAUGGGAGCUCCGACGUCUCCGUGCUCACGCCCAAUGGCGAGUCCCAAGCCGAGACCUCCCGCCAAAUGCUCCUCUUCGACUCCUUCGAUGCCUGCUUCACCAGCCCACUCUCCCGCUCCUGCCGCACCGCCGAGAUGAUCUGGGAAGGACGCGAUGAGAACCUCAUCCCGGACUCCGAUCUCCAGGAGAUCGAUCUCUACUCUUUCCAGUUUGUUGGUUCCUUGAUGGAUGCUUGGAAGAUGCUUGUGGAAAUGCCUUAGUGUAACGAGCAAGAUUUGUGGAAGGUGCUCGUGAUAUAGUCUUUGUUUUAUCAUAAUCAGGUAUAUGCGCUGCUUUUAGUAUAGAGACAAAUCAGAGAAUAUGCCUUCUGAAUGGGAGUCCUUAUGAGUUAUCCGUAGUUUAUUUUACAACAAGAAUAAUGAAUCACUCAUUAUCGUGCCAGUAUAUGGUUCUGAAAAUUUCAGUGAUCUACGAUGCAGGAUAACUCAAGUAGAGUACAUUCGACGAGAACAACUAGAUGCUGGUUUCCCUGUU